UGCUGGACACCUACACAUCCUCGCCUCACAUGCAUUCAUGCUGCUGAAUAGGUUAUAUCUCUUUUUUGACAUUUGGCGAGUCUUCAUGGCUAACAGUGAUGAGCUAAUGAUUAUCGAGAGAUGCUGUACAACUUAAAGACACCUACUUCCACCCAAAGAUGGUAACUCUAUACUAAUAAUAGCACAUUCCUGCAUGAAUUUGCCUGGGGGUAGAAGGCAUUUGUGAAUUAGGGGCCCAAAGUAACAGAAGUAUUACCAACAGGAAUGAGAAGAACAGAAACAACAGCCACCGAGGAAAAUGUUGAGAGGAAAAGUCGAUUUCCAAUCUGUGGGGAAAUGAUGGCAGUACCGCUGUUAACGACCGAUGAUAGCAGUUGUCUUCUGGAACACCCGGGCUGCAGUCUCCAGCUAGAUUCCUUCUGCUGCUUUUUUCUUUUUCUUUUUCUCUUUUUAACAGUAAAAAGAAGAAAUUACAGAGGCAAUUCUGUCUAAGGAAAGGAAAGGAUUCAAAAAGAGAAGGCUUUAUUUUGAAGCAUCCACAGGACAUCGUGGAAAGCUCCCAAGCACUUGAAAAGAAAAUCUCCUUCCACAGACAUCAAUAAGGAUAAAUCCUCUCGGAUACAGCUUAAGACAGGGGGUGGGGGUGAUGAAGCCAGUUUUAAAGUAUGGGCUUUGCAAGCUGCACGUCCUCAAAUAACGACUUGAAGGAACUGAAGUGAAUUCAGCAGGUGGAGAUGGCAUCCCUUCCGCAUAUUGUUUAUGGGCUUUCUCUUAUGGUAAGAUCUACUGUCUGACCUCAAAGCGCACUGGUUCUACCAUCUUGGCUGUUUGAUGAGACAUUUGCUCAUCACGCGCCUUCCAGCCCAACAGCCAAGGAUACAGCUACCAUGACCCAGGACUGAGCGGGUAGAAGAGAUGCAGAGCUCUCACGGUUAACCCAGCCAGUGUAACUGUCCUGGUUUUCUAGCCACAGUUCUCGCAUCAUUCUAGAAGCAGCCUGCCCAAUCGCAAAUGUAUGUCAAGCGUUUUCUCUUUGCCAAAAGGGAUAUCUCUUUUCAAAAUCUCACAGACCCCAAUUUCAACCUAAAAUCAUACUUCAAAUUAUAUUCCACCAAAUUUCAUUUUAAUUCCUAAAUCUUCCAGAAAAAAAGUAUCUAAGAGCUCUCAGAUGGAUAACAUAAUUCAGAAUCUUUAUAUAUGCACCUUUUAAAGUUAGUAUAAAAGUAACACCCACAUAAAAUAAGUUCUUUUUGUUCCCAGAUUGUUCAUAAAAGUAAAUCAUAAAAAUAAAUCACAAAUAUAAAGUUUUUCCUUCAGUGAAUGAACUGUUUUUUACCUGCAAAAUUGCCUUUACUUCCUUAUAGCAAAUUCAAGGUGAUCUUAGAGGGGGGGAAAGACAAAAACAGAAACAACAACUGUGUUACAUUUGUUUCCACAAGCUAU